CCUACGGGGCGCAGCAGUGAGGAAUAUUGGUCAAUGGACGGAAGUCUGAACCAGCCAUGCCGCGUGCAGGAAGACGGCUCUAUGAGUUGUAAACUGCUUUUGUACAAGGGUAAACCUGAAUACGUGUAUUCAGCUGAAAGUACUGUACGAAUAAGGAUCGGCUAACUCCGUGCCAGCAGCCGCGGUAAUACGGAGGGUGCGAGCGUUAUCCGGAUUUAUUGGGUUUAAAGGGUGCGUAGGCGGAACAUUAAGUCAGCGGUAAAAUCGAGGGGCUCAACCCCUUUAAGCCGUUGAAACUGGUGAUC
rnacentral:rRNA from 1 species